rnacentral:rRNA from 1 species
UACGGAGGAGGCAAGCGUUAUCCGGAAUUAUUGGGCGUAAAGCGUCCGCAGGUGGCACUUCAAGUCUGUCGUCAAAGACUGGGGCUUAACCCCGGAAAGGCGGUGGAAACUGAAGCGCUAGAGUGCGGUAGGGGUAGAGGGAAUUCCCGGUGUAGCGGUGAAAUGCGUAGAGAUCGGGAAGAACAUCGGUGGCGAAAGCGCUCUACUGGACCGCAACUGACACUCAGGGACGAAAGCUAGGGGAGCGAACAGG